rnacentral:tRNA from 1 species
GCAUCGGUAGCCAAGCGGCAAGGCGUCGGUCUGCAAAACCGAAAAGCGUGGGUUCGAUUCCCACCCGAUGCUCCA